CUCACUUUCUCUGUCCCUCUCCCUUUCCCUCCCUCUCCCCACUACACAUAGAAGACUGUAUUUUUAAAUGGAUACUAUACAAACUAAGUCAUCACAGAAAAAGAAAGAGGCGAUACCAAGAAAGGCUUCAACAGAGCCCUUCUCUCUGCCCACAGGCAAAAGACUCCGUAAGACUAUGUGA
rnacentral:lncRNA from 14 species